GAUGAACGCUGGCGGCGUGCCUAAUACAUGCAAGUCGAGCGAACGGACGAGAAGCUUGCUUCUCUGAUGUUAGCGGCGGACGGGUGAGUAACACGUGGAUAACCUACCUAUAAGACUGGGAUAACUUCGGGAAACCGGAGCUAAUACCGGAUAAUAUUUUGAACCGCAUGGUUCAAAAGUGAAAGACGGUCUUGCUGUCACUUAUAGAUGGAUCCGCGCUGCAUUAGCUAGUUGGUAAGGUAACGGCUUACCAAGGCAACGAUGCAUAGCCGACCUGAGAGGGUGAGCGGCCACACUGGAACUGAGACAAGGUCCAGACUCCUACGGGAGGCAGCAGUAGGGAAUCUUCCGCAAUGGGCGAAAGCCUGACGGAGCAACGCCGCGUGAGUGAUGAAGGUCUUCGGAUCGUAAAACUCUGUUAUUAGGGAAGAACAUAUGUGUAAGUAACUGUGCACAUCUUGACGGUACCUAAUCAGAAAGCCACGGCUAACUACGUG
rnacentral:rRNA from 1 species